CCUACGGGUGGCAGCAGUGGGGAAUAUUGGGCAAUGGGCGCAAGCCUGAACCAGCAACGCCGCGUGAAGGAAGAAGGCUCUAGGGGUGGAAACCUCCUUUAAGAGGGAAGAGCAGAAGACGGUACCUCUUGAAUAAGCCACGGCUAACGACGUGCCAGCAGCCGAGGUAAUACGUAGGUGGCAAGCGUUGUCCGGAUUUACUGGGUUUAAAGGGCGUGCAGGCGGGAAGAUAAGUCAGAUGUGAAAUCCCGCGGCUCAACCGCGGAACUGCAUUUGAAACUGUUCUUCUUGAGUAACGGUGAGGUAAUCGGAAUUCCUUGUGUAGCGGUGAAAUGCUUAGAUAUAAGGAAGAACACCAGUUGCGAAGGCAGAUGACUGGACGGCAACUGACGGUGAGGCACGAAAGCGUGGGGAGCAAACAGGAUUAGAUACCCUUGUAGUC
rnacentral:rRNA from 1 species